ensembl:snoRNA
UUGAUUGAUGGCUCAGCGGUUAAGAGCACACCCACACUAGGAUGCAAAAGAAAAUGCUCCCUGCGCUUCCUGCCUGUCUUUGUGGCAGUCCAGAUUGAACUGGGGAGUGCAUGU